GACAGUCCGUGGGACAGUAGGAGACAGUCUGUGGGACAGUGUGUGAGACAGUAGGAGACAGUCUGUGGGACAGUGUGUGAGACAGUCUGUGGGACAGUGUGUGAGACAGUCUGUGGGACAGUGUGUGAGACAGUAGGAGACAGUCUGUGGGACAGUGUGUGAGACAGUCUGUGGGACAGUGUGUGAGACAGUAGGAGACAGUCUGUGGGACAGUGUGUGAGACAGUAGGAGACAGUCUGUGGGACAGUGUGUGAGACAGUAGGAGACAGUAGGAGACAGUCUGUGGGACAGUGUGUGAGACAGUAGGAGACAGUCUGUGGGACAGUGUGUGAGACAGUAGGAGACAGUCUGUGGGACAGUGUGUGAGACAGUCUGUGGGACAGUGUGUGAGACAGUAGGAGACAGUCUGUGGGACAGUGUGUGAGACAGUCUGUGGGACAGUGUGUGGGACAGUGUGUGAGACAGUAGGAGACAGUCUGUGGGACAGUGUGUGAGACAGUAGGAGACAGUCUGUGGGACAGUGUGUGAGACAGUAGGAGACAGUCUGUGGGACAGUGUGUGAGACAGUAGGAGACAGUCUGUGGGACAGUGUGAGACAGUCUGUGGGACAGUGUGUGGGACAGUGUGUGAGACAGUAGGAGACAGUCUGUGGGACAGUAGGAGACAGUCUGUGGGACAGUGUGAGACAGUCUGUGGGACAGUGUGUGAGACAGUCUGUGGGACAGUGUGUGAGACAGUAGGAGACAGUCUGUGGGACAGUGUGAGACAGUCUGUGGGACAGUAGGAGACAGUCUGUGGGACAGUGUGUGAGACAGUAGGAGACAGUCUGUGGGACAGUGUGUGAGACAGUAGGAGACAGUGUGUG
ensembl:lncRNA